rnacentral:lncRNA from 1 species
UGGGAUAUUUGGGUUGGGUUGAGAAGAGGUAUAGAUUUGGAUAUAGUUUGGAUUGCUGUUUUGGCUUGAUUUGUAAUUUGGAAGUAUUUUUGGAUAUUGGCGAGGGAACAUCUGUCGAGGUUAUAUUUUUCCCACCAUUUGACUCUGAAUUCUCGGAGGAGAGAAUAAGGCAUGUCUUGAAGAGCAAUAGCGAGGGUAAAAUGCCAUGAACAUAUCCAU